GUGGGGAAUAUUGCACAAUGGGGGAAACCCUGAUGCAGCAACGCCGCGUGAGUGAUGAAGGUCUUCGGAUUGUAAAACUCUGUCUUCAGGGACGAUAAUGACGGUACCUGAGGAGGAAGCCACGGCUAACUACGUGCCAGCAGCCGCGGUAAUACGUAGGUGGCAAGCGUUGUCCGGAUUUACUGGGCGUAAAGGGAGCGUAGGUGGAUAUUUAAGUGGGAUGUGAAAUACUCGGGCUUAACCUGGGUGCUGCAUUCCAAACUGGAUAUCUAGAGUGCAGGAGAGGAAAGUAGAAUUCCUAGUGUAGCGGUGAAAUGCGUAGAGAUUAGGAAGAAUACCAGUGGCGAAGGCGACUUUCUGGACUGUAACUGACACUGAGGCUCGAAAGCGUGGGGAGCAAACAGGAUUAGAAACCCGGGUAGUCC
rnacentral:rRNA from 1 species